UCCCAUAUGGUCUAGUGGUUGCGAUUUGGCGCUUUCACCGCCAAGGCCCGUGUUCAAUUCCCGGUGUGGGAA
rnacentral:tRNA from 1 species